GUGGACAAGAAAGUGACUUUUUUGCAAGAAGUUUUUGAAUCUUGACCACU
rnacentral:tRNA from 1 species